AUACAUACCUGACGGGAGAUACCAUGAUCACGAAGGUGGUUUCCCCAGGACGAGACUCUCCCAUUGCACUCCGGGUGUGCUGACCCCUGUGAUUUCCCCAAAUGUGGGAGACUCGGUUGCAUAAUUUGUGGUAGUGGGGGACUGCGUUCACACUCUCCCCUG